rnacentral:rRNA from 1 species
AAUAGAUACCCAGGUAGUCCACCCCGUAAACGUUGGGAACUAGUUGUGGGGUCCUUUCCACGGAUUCCGUGACGCAGCUAACGCAUUAAGUUCCCCGCCUGGGGAGUACGGCCGCAAGGCUAAAACUCAAAGGAAUUGACGGGGACCCGCACAAGCGGCGGAGCAUGCGAAUUAAUUCGAUGCAACGCGAAGAACCUUACCAAGGCUUGACAUACACCAGAACACCCUAGAAAUAGGGGACUCUUUGGACACUGGUGAACAGGUGGUGCAUGGUUGUCGUCAGCUCGUGUCGUGAGAUGUUGGGUUAAGUCCCGCAACGAGCGCAACCCUCGUUCUAUGUUGCCAGCACGUAAUGGUGGGAACUCAUGGGAUACUGCCGGGGUCAACUCGGAGGAAGGUGGGGAUGACGUCAAAUCAUCAUGCCCCUUAUGUCUUGGGCUUCACGCAUGCUACAAUGGCCGGUACAAGGGCUGCAAUACCGUGAGGUGGAGCGAAUCCCAAAAAGCCGGUCCCAGUUCGGAUUGAGGUCUGCAACUCGACCUCA